rnacentral:lncRNA from 1 species
UCCCUCUCAAGGGAGGUACUCAGGGUAUAUGCUGCUUCCUGCCUUUCUCCUUCUUCCUGUCUCAGUUAUCUUGAUUUUUAUGUUUAUUCUUAUAUUUACAUAAGAACGGAAUGUUAAACCCUUAGAUAAAACUGUCACCCAAUGUUGUGUCAUCAGACUUAAGAUGAAUUGGUGUUGAGUUCUCAGAGUACAGCUCUGUAGUGUGAAUCCCUGGUCAUUUCGUAGCUAAUGCUUAACCUGUUAGCCCCAAUUUCCUCUCUUAAAAUGGGAACAAUGAUAGUACCUAUCUGAUAGGAUUGUGAGGAUAAUCCAUUAUUUUUAGUUGUUGGUUUUCUUUUGAAUAACAGCCGUUCACUCUUGCACCACGCCUGAGCAGCUAUAUUCAGAGAAGGCUGUAUCCUCUUAUUUUAUCCAACAAAGCAGUUUUUCUAAUGUGCCUCCUUUUACAUUUUCAUUGAAUUCCAUACUUCUGGCUGGGCAUAGUGGCUCACGCCUGUAAUCCCGACACUUUGGGAGGCCAAGAUGGCAGUUUCUCUCUGUGUCCUCACGUGGCUGAAAGGCCUAGGGGUCUUCUUGGGCCUCCUUUAUAAGGACACUAAUCCCUCAUGAAUGGGGAUUAGUGUCCCUCAUGAUCCAGUCACCCCUUCUAGUACCACCCCUUCUAAUACCAUCACCUUUGGGGUUAGAAUUUCAAUGUAUGAAUUUGCGCUGGGGUAGGGGACACAAACAUUCAGACAGUGAUAGUACUGCUGAAGAUAAAAUGAUGGAAAAAUUCUCUUAGCGGUGUGAUUGAAGAGGGCAGGCAGGCGUCGAGCCUGAAGGAGUGCAUUCGUGGUGGGAUGUGGAAGGAGAAGCAGAUAUUACAGACAUUUAGGAGAUAGUCAUGACUUGUGACCAGUGAGAACACACUGGAUGAAUGUUUCCCUAAGCUAUAGGAGUGUCCACAUCUUCACUUUAUUUAAAAAGCUCCCGGGUAUGUAUUAGCAGAUUAUUAUUUCUGUUCCAAAUUGAUAAGAAGAGGAGGGAGGUGUAGCAUCAAGGGAGAAGUCUUUGGGAGUAAAAAAAAGAGUGGAA